CACCAACAUUGUUUUGCUGGAUGUUAGAGGUUGGCGGUGUUUUCUCUCGGAGUGGAUGUGGGGACGGUGGAGGAGGCUCUCUCACAGUUCUCCAUUCUGGCCAAUUCCAAGCAACUCGACAGCACUAAGGUGGUUCUAGACAUCCAGUCCACUUCAGUUUGGCUGAGGGAUCAACAUAAACAGGUUCUGGAAGAGUUCACUCUGCCGUCUCUCCUCCGCUGUGAUUCUCUCAAUUCCGAGACUCGUUUUUCAUCCCUCCUUCUGCUCGUCACACAGAGCUCCACCCAGAAACACCCCAGCAUCCUGUUCUUCAACUGUGCACCUGCCAGGGUGAGACAUUCCAUCAGUCAAUCAAUCAAUUGAUGAACCAAUCAAGCAACCAAUCACUGAAUCGAUCGAGCA
ensembl:lncRNA